rnacentral:rRNA from 1 species
GACAGAGGGCGCAAACGUUGUUCGGAAUUACUGGGCGUAAAGCGUGCGCAGGCGGCUUUGCAAGACAGAUGUGAAAUCCCCGGGCUCAACCUGGGAACUGCAUUUGUGACUGCAUGGCUAGAGUGCGGCAGAGGGGGAUGGAAUUCCGCGUGUAGCAGUGAAAUGCGUAGAGAUGUGGAGGAACACCGAUGGCGAAGGCAGCCCCCUGGGUCAAGAUUGACGCUCAUGCACGAAAGCGUGGGGAGCAAACAGG